rnacentral:rRNA from 1 species
GGCGAACGCUGGCGGCGUGCUUAACACCUGCAAGUCGAACGGAAAGGCCUCUUUCGGGGGGUACUCGAGUGGCGAACGGGUGAGUAACACGUGAGUAACCUGCCCUUGACUUUGGGAUAACUUCAGGAAACUGGGGCUAAUACCGGAUAGGAGCUCCUGCUGCAUGGUGGGGGUUGGAAAGUUUCGGCGGUUGGGGAUGGACUCGCGGCUUAUCAGCUUGUUGGUGGGGUAGUGGCUUACCAAGGCUUUGACGGGUAGCCGGCCUGAGAGGGUGACCGGCCACAUUGGGACUGAGAUACGGCCCAGACUCCUACGGGAGGCAGCAGUGGGGAAUAUUGCACAAUGGGUGGAAGCCUGAUGCAGCAACGCCGUGUGCGGGAUGACGGCCUUCGGGUUGUAAACCGCUUUCGCUCAUGACGAAGCUUUGUGUGACGGUAGUGGGUAAAGAAGCACCGGCUAACUACGUG